rnacentral:lncRNA from 1 species
GGCGAGCAGCUUCUCCAAGACGGCGGCGUCGCCGGCUCCGGCGGCAGCUUGCAGGGGCGCGGGCGUCACGGUGUCCAUCUGGACGGCUGCAGAGGAGGCCACGUGGACAUGCACAGGGAACAAGGCCCGUCAGAUGGGACAGUAUACCGUUGGAGGCGAACAAGGAAAACUUAAAAACUGGCAGCGGUUUACUUUCCCAAGGCCAAGCAAAAGGCCUUCAGCCCUGAGAUUUUGUGCACCCUAAUUUUAGCAAAAACCCAAUCUUGGAUUUGCUCGCAGAGCACAAGGACAACAACUGUCAGGUAAAGAAGGCUACGGGGGGAGGCUACGGGGGGCGCCUCGGGGCAAAAAUAAAAUGGAUAAAACAGAGAUGAACAUGGGAUGAACAAGAUGGUACUUCUUGUCUCAACAAGAGAACCUGAAAUGUUAGACUUCCAUCCGUUCUGCCAGAAAAAUACUUCACAAACAUGCACAUAAAGGUUCAGGCUUUGCAAAAGAUUAAAAAAAAACUAUCAUGGCUCCAUGAAACAUGAAAAAACAGUUCAUGAAACGACAAACUAGGAAGAGUUUAGGCGUUAACAGAGGCAACAGAUAGGAUUAUCCUCACCAGCAAGAACAUGAAGUAAUUCAGUGUGGCCAGACAAGAGACCAGGAACAGGGGAGGUUACCUUUGUGUCGAAGAACUGGAACUAGGAGGCGCAGAUCUGAAGGUCUCGAGGAGGCUACUAGUACUCAACGGGCACAACUAGGCAAACUCCAUGGCUGCAACGGGAGGGUGGAGCAGAGGAAAGG